UACAGAGGUCCCGAGCGUUGUUCGGAUUCACUGGGCGUAAAGGGUGCGUAGGUGGUGCGGUAAGUCGGAUGUGAAAUCUCCGAGCUCAACUCGGAAAUGGCAUUGGAAACUACCUUGCUCGAGGGUUGGAGGGGGGACUGGAAUACUUGGUGUAGCAGUGAAAUGCGUAGAUAUCAAGUGGAACACCAGUGGCGAAGGCGAGUCUCUGGACAUUUCCUGACGCUGAGGCACGAAAGCCAGGGGAGCAAACGGG
rnacentral:rRNA from 1 species